GCAACAAUUACAAUUUUAGUUUCUGGAACUUGCUACAAUAAUUUGGGAGCUAAAUUUCCAAAUAGAGGUGAUCUUAGAACACCAAAGAAUCAAAGGAACAAUUUAGAAGAGGAUGAAGUAGUUCACCUCAUCGUGAAGAAAUAACUUCUCUUUGGUUACGCACACAGAACACACGUUCUGUUAUGGUGCGUUGUACCCUCACUUGCUGCUGUUUUUCUGCUCUAAAUCUCCCCUCUCACACACUCAUUCAUUGAAGUUUAGUUAUGGAAUUAGUGAAGACGAAGUUGUUGAAGAGAAGGAAACCUUUUAACCGAAUUUAGUCGUUCAUCCCAACCGUCCAAACGCAUGUACGACAUCACAGUCGUUAGUGCGUUGGGUUGCUGACCAAGACAGGCAUGGGAGGCCAGUUUUCUUGACACCUGGCCGGUCUUCACAACAGUCCACCAUGUGGCUCAGUUAUGCCCACAAUUGUCGAAGCCCGAAACUUAAAGAGAAAUAAAUUCAUGAAUUAAAUGCGGAAGCGAUUAAUAAAGUUAGGAUUUACAUUUCUUAUACAAUAAUUUUGAAUGCCCAAUAGAGUUACGAGAAUGUUCAUUCUAAAAGACAAAUAGAAAAUAAGGAAAUAAAAUGAAAAGUGAAUAACUAAACAUCCUAGGACAACCUUCACUAGCACUUGAAGAGAGUCCGGAUAGUGAACUACUCACAACCUUCUUGUUGAUCAGGUCCUGGAUCUUGGUCAUCUUAAUAUAAAAUAGUUAAUGAAAAUGUAAGAUACAGUAACCCAGUAAGAAUAUCACACUAAUCACAAAUACAAAAAAUUGAUGAUUGGUAAAAAAUAUCAGAAAAAUAAUUAAUGGAGCCCUUUCUUUAUUCAAGUACAUUUAAAACUUGAAGACAUUUGUUUAAUACUUACCAUAACGAGUUUUCCAAAGACAACCUAUAAAGUCCCAUAUCCAUAUCACUUUUCACUUUCACGCAUAAGAGAAUGAGAAACAAUAGUUUUCCUUUCUUACUUGCUUACUGAUACUCCUAGGGGUCUAUAGGGGUGUUCUCCUUGUUCGUGAACUCAAUAUCAAAUUUUACAAUUGAUCAAUUGUCCCCAUACCCCGUCUGAUAAUGGGCGUCAAAUAUUCCAUCGCCUCAAUACCCCGUUCGGUAUGAAGGUGAACCAUGUCUUCCCAAACCUUCCCGGUAAGCGACUUCCCAGCCCUGUCCGACUGAGAUAACGUUCACGGUAGGAUUUCAUAUGUAUCGGGCCCAUCUGCCCUUUUCUUGGGUAACUAGUAAGUCUUUCACAUACAAAUUUUCAUUCAAUAAACAACCAACAGACUCAUACCAAUAUCUCGUAUCACAUUCACAGAUCAAUUAAACUAUAUUCAUGCUGAUAGUAUAUAAUUAAAAUAACUAGAUAAGUUGAUAAGACUAUUGAACUAUAAAUUAAGAACAUGUACUAUACGAAAAUAAGCAAGUAGGACAGUACAAGAAAA
rnacentral:lncRNA from 1 species